UACGUAGGGUGCGAGCGUUAAUCGGAAUUACUGGGCGUAAAGCGUGCGCAGGCGGCUUUGCAAGACAGAUGUGCAAUCCCCGGGCUCAACCUGGGAACUGCAUUUGUGACUGCAAGGCUAGAGUACGGCAGAGGGGGAUGGAAUUCCGCGUGUAGCAGUGAAAUGCGUAGAUAUGCGGAGGAACACCAAUGGCGAAGGCAAUCCCCUGGGCCUGUACUGACGCUCAUGCACGAAAGCGUGGGGAGCAAACAGG
rnacentral:rRNA from 1 species